GUGCCAGCAGCCGCGGUAAUACGAAGGGGUGCAAGCGUUACUCGGAAUUACUGGGCGUAAAGCGUGCGUAGUGGUUGUUUAAGUCUGUUGUGAAAGCCCUGGGCUCAACCUGGGAACUGCAGUGGAAACUGGACAACUAGAGUGUGGUAGAGGGUAGCGGAAUUCCUGGUGUACGAGUGAAAUGCGGUAGAGAUCGGGAGGAACAUCCAUGGCGAAGGCAGCUACCUGGACCAACACUGACACUGAGGCACGACAAGCGUGGGGAGCAAACAGGAUUAGAUACCCUGGUAGUCC
rnacentral:rRNA from 1 species